GGGCGAUUAGCGCAGCGGUUAGCGCACUUCGUUCACACCGAAGGGGUCACUGGUUCGAUUCCAGUAUCGCCCACCC
rnacentral:tRNA from 1 species